GUGAAUCAUCAAAUCUUUGAACGCAAAUUGCACUCCCUGGUAUUCCGGGGAGCAUGCCUGUUUGAGGGUCGUUAGAAGAAAAAUCGAAGCAUCGCCCUUUUCUGGAGGGGGAUCGCGUCGGAAUUGAGCAGUCUUUCAAAUGUUAAAUCUUGUACAAGUGGCUUAAAAUUAAUCUAUCCGGUUCGAUUAAAGGGUAUUUAAGAUCACUUUUGAUUAAGACUGCGCGAU
rnacentral:misc_RNA from 1 species